UACGUAGGGUGCGAGCGUUAAUCGGAAUUACUGGGCGUAAGCGUGCGCAGGCGGUUAUGUAAGACAGAUGUGAAAUCCCAGAGCUCAACCUUGGAACUGCAUUUGUGACUGCAUAGCUAGAGUACGGUAGAGGGGGAUGGAAUUCCGCGUGUAGCAGUGAAAUGCGUAGAUAUGCGGAGGAACACCGAUGGCGAAGGCAAUCCCCUGGACCUGUACUGACGCUCAUGCACGAAAGCGUGGGGAGCAAACAGG
rnacentral:rRNA from 1 species